GUCCAGACGGCGUCGCCAGCUGCCCAGGCAGUUCCUAUCCCUUUCGGAGCUCCAGCCUGCCCCUCCUGACGCUCUCAGAGUCUGGCCUUCUGCUGGGCCCCGGGUCUCUCACUGGCAGAAUGGAGUUCUCGGAGCUGAUCCAUACGGGCUGAGCCCAAGCAGAGUUUCUACGGGGCCCGGAGGCGCCCCCGCUUCGCGGCACGGUGUGAGUCACCGUCCACCACCUGCUCCUGUCGCCAGGGCCCGCGUCCUCUCCGGACCUGUGGCUGCUGCUGUUGCGUAGCGUCGACUCCUUCGAGAAGCAGUGAGACGUGGCGGGGUGGGGGAGGGUCCCCGGGGUUGGGGAGCGCGCGGCUUGGCGGAGUAGGGGGCACGGCCAGCGCAGUCAGAGCUGGCGCCCUCCUGCGUAAGCCCAAUCCGGGAAACUCGUUGCCCCUCUCCUGGGAAAGGAACGUCCCUCCCCAGGGUUGCGAGUGACUCGGGCACCAUCACCCUGUGCUGUAAAGACCUGCGAGUGCUGCAGCUGGAAAUAGAGGGCGCGGAAGCGACGCUGGGCAUCGCCCGCUCCAUCGAGACCAACGCGUGGCGGCUGAGCGAGGUUCUGCUACGCUCCAGCCAGCCCCUAACUGGUCCCCAGAAGCGGCGCUGCUACAGGGACCAGGAGCUGCUGCGAACUGCGCUGGCGGGGGCUCGUCCUUGGGCGCGGGGCUUCAUCAUGGACACGCUCUCGGCCCAGGCCGCGAAACAAGCCCGCGUGACUGGCGGAGGCACAGAGACCAAGGCCGCUUAACCUGGCUGGUUGCACUGGUCCCUGGAGAGCACUGAGCACAGGGGCUGCCACAGUGGCCGGCUCAGACAUGGCAGAGAUCAGCAGAGAAUGGGCAAUCAGGCUCCCCUGAGAUGAGCAGCAGCGCAGAGGAGGUGCCCCUCUCUUACUACACCAACUUCAGAGGGCGUCCCCUGCAGGAGAGCUUCAUGCGCCUGGUGGAGGCCUGUGGGGACUCGGAGCAAAGCAUGGACAACUGGCUGAGUCGGCUGGACGGCUGCCGCUGACUGUAACAUGUAAAGCAGGCACUGAGCACCACCUGCCUGGCAGUCCAGGGCAUGGAGAGGCACAGACAGCACCCUGCUUGUGACUUCACUGGCCCAACUCAUCCUGGACCCCUUGAGCAAGACCAUGGCUGGAUUCCAGGAACUGGUGGAGUGGAAGUGGAUCCAGGAAAAUGCCGUGUGAAGGGAGGACUCAGAUGCACUCCCUGUGGUCUGGGCUCAACCAGCCAAAAGAGCAACAAAGACUCCAGAACCCACUCUACCUCCUCAAUCCCUUGGCCAUCUGUGGAGCCCCAGAGCCUGCGGCUGUGGCAAGGCCUGUUUCUGCGCUGGACCUGCUCACCUGAGCCUGCAGAAGCUGCAUGGGGGAAGAGUGUGGCAAAUAGUGACAGGAAGGGAGAAGACAGAAGCCUCUCAGCCAACUGCUUCAGCCGAGCCCCUAUUCUAAGCACUGGCUCCUUGGAUAGCAGCUGAGAUGUUCCUGAAACCUCUGCAGGCCCCUUAGGACCUUUACACCUUGGAUGAGGGUGCCUGCAACCCAGGUUAGCCAAAAGUACUGAGGGUCUUAAGUUUGAAGUGUCCAAAGUAUAGGGAGGUCUCAAUAAUAAAAGUCUCCAUGAUCAGCA
ensembl:lncRNA novel transcript